rnacentral:lncRNA from 1 species
GGACUAAUCCAAUAUGGCUGAGAUCCUUAUCAAAAGGAGAAAUUCAGUCACAGGGACAGACAGGUACAGAGAGAAGAUGAUGUCAAGAGACAACGGGAGAAUGCCACAUGAAGGUGGAGGAUUGGAGUAAUGCAUCUACAAGCCAAGAAAACCUUGUUGGGAGUUUGAUUAGACGGCUGAGAAAGACAGCAAAUCUACAGGGUUUGUCAAAGAUAAGAUCGUUGUCAUGGCAUGAAAAGGAUGACCUUUCCAGUCUGCAAUACCUGCUUGACCACUAAGACCAAACAGCUCAAAUUAAAGGUAACAAAUUCCGCAGAGGCAAUUGUUCAACACAGGAAAAAGAAACCACUUUAAGGAUUUUAAACUGGAAGAGAUUUUACAUAAGCUGUUUUAAACAAAACCAUUGGAUGACCUGGAGUAACAGUGUCGGAAACUCAGCUGAGCUGGAUAGAGAACUGAGCUGCCCGUUGUUGGAGAAGUUGAUUAAAGCAGCAGCCGAAGAUCGAAGUAACAGUCAAGACUGUAAUCACUUACUGCAAUAGUAUAAGCAAGAGGCCAAAACCAAAGAAACUGCCAACUCACCCAGGUCUUCUAAAUUCCCCAGAAAGGUGCACUAGUGGAGGGUCAGUGAAUCAGGACAGACAUGGGGGUCAGCUCACGAUUGAGGAAGCCCCAAACAAAAAUCUCCAGUAGUAUUAUGAACCCUGGAGCAGGAGGUUGGAGUGAGACAAGGAGAGCUAGGAGUAGAAGAGUAUGGAGUCGGAGGAGGGAACGGUUUCUUAAGGUCUCCUCCCACUCUACUCUUAAGAAAGCUUCAGUAGAAGCACCUGAAGAAAACUCCAGCAGGAAGCCCUCAGAUAAAGAAACUUCUGAAUGAAGACACCUAGGCUAGGAAUGCAAAUAUGUUUAAGAGCAUGGGCCAUUAGGGGAAUCUGAGUUCCAGAAUGCAAUUCUCUUUAAAGAUUGCAAUGCACUGGGUAUGCCCCAAGUCUGGGGAGGGCAACUUUCCUCGGAGGGGUUUGCCAGAUAAAGCCUUUGUCAUUGCCUGUGGUUGGGCCUGAAAUAUCAAACAUAGAUUUUUGGCCAGGACUCCUCAGCAGGAUCUAGUCAGGGCCUUCACAAAGUACAUUCAGAAUGACAAUUGACCCACCAGAAAGCCAUCAUGCCACCACUUGAUAUUUUAAAUGAAAAGACCCACCAACAUAUCUGAUAUCCAUAUCUGAUACCCAGUAGAAUUGGAAUGCUGCUAUCACCACUGUCACUAUUGUCACUACCACACCUGCCUCUAGAAACCCAGCAAUCUGGAGGAUGGACCCUGGAUAAUGUUGCAGGCAAACCUCAUUUCUCUACAACUGUGCUUUCCACCAACAGUCGAUUAAAGGAAGACGAAGAUCGAGUGUGUGUGGAUGAUACAGCAAAUAAACCUUCUUCUAGUUCUUAAAGAUUAUGGUUUUCAGUGUUUAGUGAGCAUCCGUGUUCAUCUUUAAAGGAUAGAAAAAUGCAGGAGGCAUCUUGUAUCCAUGAAGAUACUAAAACACGGAUUUCCUCAGGAAAUUGAUCACUCAAGCAUCCAUAAUCUUAGUAGACUGCCCUUAUAGUCGUAUUGCAGAAUGUGUGAUCUGCCAUCUACUGAGGGCUCAUUUUUCCCUCUCCUCUCUCAUCCAAGAUUGGUGAUAGUUUCAAAUUUUUCUCCCACUAUUAUGUAGAAUAAUUUCCAAACUUGACACUCAAUUGAAUCAUGGUGUCCAGGAAAAUAGAUAAAAUAAAUAUGACUUCAUAUACCAGAAGUCAUAUUCCUUUGAAUACAAUCAGGGCCAUAAAUGGCACUUGCUUCUAUAACACAAAGUGCUAUUAUAAUUAUAUACAUGAUUUUUUAAAUAAUUAAGUAACUUGGAACCAGUUUCUAUUGCAAUAAUUAUAAGAAACAAAGACCUCCAACUGAAUGAACCCCUCUGAAAUAUUUUAAUAAACUCUGAGGAGUACUAUUUGUCAAGCAAAGAAAUACUGAAUUAAGGUAAAUGCCAGCUUAGGAUGAAAAGAACAGCAACAGUGCCUACCUUCAUUACCUCAGCCUCUCCCUGGCUAAGAUAAUCACUUAAUCUUUUAUGCCUUUGCUAAAACCUCAUUAGUAAAAAGGAGACCUGCCUACUAAGCAUAAGGUUAAGGCUUUAAUGGACUUUAGAAAUCAUUUACUUUUAUGACUCAAAGCACUGAAGUGCAAAUUCUUUUUAUUUGAAUAUUUGAGGGCAUUAAAUGAGCAUUUUUAAUGGAUUUCAAUUGUCAGGAUAAAAUAAAAUUUCUCAAGGGGAAUCUGAAUUUUAACAAACAUUAAAAUCAAAGAAGUAAAAAGAUGAAUAAAUGGAG